rnacentral:tRNA from 1 species
GCCCUAGUAGCUCAGUGGAUAGAGCACCGCUCUCCUAAAGCGGGUUGUCGGAGGUUCGAUUCCUCUCUAGGGCA